UACAGAGGGGGCAAGCGUUGUUCGGAAUUACUGGGCGUAAAGGGCGCGUAGGCGGCCUGCUAAGUCGAACGUGAAAUCCCCGGGCUCAACCCGGGAACUGCGUCCGAUACUGGUAGGCUUGAAUUCGGGAGAUGGAUGCGGAAUUCCAGGUGUAGCGGUGAAAUGCGUAGAUAUCAGGAGGAACACCAAUGGCGAAGGCAGCUCGCUGGAACGGUACUGACGCUGAGGCGCGAAAGCGUGGGGAGCAAACAGG
rnacentral:rRNA from 1 species